rnacentral:rRNA from 1 species
UACGUAGGGUGCGAGCGUUGUCCGGAAUUAUUGGGCGUAAAGAGCUCGUAGGCGGUGCGGUAAGUCUGCGGUGAAAUCUCCCGGCUCAACUGGGAGGCUGCCGUGGAAACUGCCGUGCUUGAGUGUGGGAGAGGUGAGUGGAAUUCCCGGUGUAGCGGUGAAAUGCGUAGAUAUCAGGAGGAACACCGGUGGCGAAGGCGGUUCUCUGGGCCUUACCUGACACUGAGGAGCGAAAGCGUGGGGAGCGAACAGG